ensembl:lincRNA Gm42488 predicted gene 42488
AUGUAAUGACGGCGUGUCACCAAAAAGAGGAAUUAGCAAAACCUGCAGUGCAGGGUGCUGCAGCCUGUGACCACACUGGAAUCUGGAGUCCCUAGGCGGUAACUGGGAUGAAGCCAUCUGACUCUUUUGAACCAAGCUGGCACCACAGAUCCCAGGUACCUCUGAGGGGAUGAACCUUCUCUGCUCCUUUGGAGACCUUGCCCAAUUGUGCAUUGGAGUAGGAGAUGUCCAGAAAUCUCCAAAGAACCUACACCAGUUCACACAUCUGCUAGCAAAGCCUGAGUCCCCACUACUCCAAAUUUUCAUCGUUUUUUUGGAAUUUUCAAUUCUGCAACUUUGAGCCCCUUUGGUCAGAUGUAAGAGGAACAGGAGGAGACGCUGGUAGAGGCAGUCAAGCAGGACGGUACAAAAAUGAUUUGACUCCCACCUGAGAUGGAUACAGGGAAGGAUGAAGGAUUGUAGGGGGAGGGGAGGGGAAGGAGAGAGGGUAGAAAAUGAAGAGAAAGAACGAAGGAGAGAAAGGUGAAAAGGAUGAUGGGAAGGAAGCAAGACAUUAACAGAGGCCAGCAGAACACAGGCGUGAGGAGACAGACCUGAGCUGACUGGGGGGCCGCCCCCGUGAGGAGGGUGCACAGAAACGGGUCUCUUGGUAUUUUUUGAAACAUGGCCUUUUUAUAAAAAAGAAAAAAGUGCUUCUUGGUAUUUUUGUGUUUAUAUGUUUUAACUCGAGCUUGGACUCAUGGAAAAUGCAUGAGGGAUAAGUGGUGCCUAGGAAUGUUUUAUACAUGACCGGGGAGUUGCAGGAUGCGGAGGUGGUGGAGAAAGGCAGCGACGGUGUGGAUGGAUGGAUACUGCUAGGUCCUCCUCCCACAGGACUCGGAGUGGACAGGACACACGCCACCAGGCUUUUCUCAAGGUCACGUGGAAGGUGAUAGGCUAGUGAUGCCGUCCCUGUGCGUUCAGGUCCACCACCUCCGGGACUUCAGGUUAUUGCUAGAAUCCUUCCGAGCCUCAGUUUCCCCUUCUGCGCCACGGGAUGCCAGUAGUCAUGGUCUGGGGAGAGGUUGUUCUGUUACGGAACCAGAGAAAGCCCCUGCUACAGGAAACAGGCUACUAGACGCUGAAAGCAGAGAGCUCAGGGAAGCCACGCCCUCACCAUCACCCAGCUGUCCAUCAUCUGCUUUCCUCUUAGCGCUUAGCAAUAGGCGAUAAAGCCCUCUCAGACCUGAGUGGAGUGGAGGCUUCUGAGCUACCCGACGCCCGCAUGCCACACACACAGGUGGCUCUUGCCCUCACUGCAUUCGUCCUUCGCCAAAGACAGAGCUGAUGAUAUGGCUCACGUGAUAGAUUACUUGCCUAGAAUAUGAGAUGUCUCGAGUUUGAUCUCCUACAUCAUAUAAAGCAGCUGUGUGGUCUGUAUCUUUGACCUCAACACUGAGGAAGUAGAGGCAGGAGGAUCAGAAAUGCAAGGUCAUUCUCAGCUGUAUAGCAAGUUCAAGACCAGUCUGAGACCCUUAAGACCCUCAAGAAAGAAAAUGACAACAAAAUAAUAAUGAUCAACACCUCUCUAGGGAGGGGCUGUCACCCCUCUGAAACAGCCCCAUGGACAUCUGUGCAUCUCCUAGGGGAAGCCACGCUGUAUUAGUCAGGGUUUUCUAGAGUAGCAGAAAUAUAUGCACAUAUAUACAUAUACACAUAUGUAUACACAUACAUAUAUACACAUAUACAUACACACAUAUAUACACAUACAUUCACACACAUAUAUACACACAUAUACAUACACACAUACAUACAUAAUACACAUAUACAUACAUAUAUGCACACCUAUACAUACACACAUACAUACAUACACAAUAUACAUAUAUGUAUACACACAUACAUAUAUACAUAAUACACAUAUACAUACAUACACAUACAUGCACACCUAUAUAUACACACAUGCAUACAUACACAAUAUACAUAUAUGUAUACACACAUAUACAUAUAUAUACAAAUGUAUAAACACACAUACAUAUACAUACACAUAAACAUAUACACAUACAUAUAGACAUAUGCACUUAAAGGCUGUCCGGCUAAUCCAACAAUGGCUGGCCAUGUAGAGGAGCUCAGUAAUCCUGUAGAUGCCCAACUCACUCCAUGAGGCUGGAUGUUUCAACUGGUUUUCAGCACACUCUAGAAUCCCAAAGAAGUAGGCUCUAAUGCCAGUGAAGAGAUGGACUUAGCAGCAAGACAAGGGCAAGCAGGCAGAGCAUUUCUCCAUGCCCUCUGCAUCAGCUCCUGCCUCCAGGUUCCUGCCCUGUGUGAGUUCCUAUUCUGACUUCAAUGAUGAACAGUGAUGUGGAAGUGUAAGCUGAACAAACCCUUUCCUUCCCAAGCCGCUUUUGGUCAUGGUGUUUGCCACAGCAAUAGCAGCUCUAAGACCUUCCUGCCUCAGGAUAGUGUCUCUGGCAUGUCUGACAGUGGAUUUUGCUUUCAGAACCUCAUUUCCUCUAUGGAAGCUCCUUCCUCUUUGGUGGCCCUGGAACUCAGCACUCAGCCCCAUCAUUGAUGUGUCUUCAUGGGAGACCACAAAGGAGGUUGCAUGCCUCUGUGUGCCUGAAGCCCAUCAACCUUCCCAACAUUCUGUGGGGCUUCAGGGAAAUACAGACAAUGACCUCAGCCUCAGAGUCUAGGCUCCAAGAAUCACAUUCAUGCCCAAGUCUUCAGAGUCUUCUAGAAUUUUCCUUCUAGGAGCUGGAUCCCGUCCUCUUGCAGGGCUGAUGUUGCAUGUUUUUGUGUGUGUGUGUGUGUGUGUGUGGUCUUAGGAAGGGACCAGGCCUCUCAAGUUCCCCCAACAUUCAUUGCAUAGAGGCACUGAGUUCAUAGCAUGUGUAGUGGCUGGUUUUGUGUGUCAACUUGACACAAGCUAGAGUUAUCACAGAGAAAGGAGUCUCCCUUGAGGAAAUGCCUCCAUGAGAUCCAGCUGUAAGGCAUUUUCUCAAUUAGUGACCAAGGGUAGGAGGGCCCAUUGUGGGUGGGGCCAGUCCUUUGUGGGCGGGGCCAGCCCUGAACUGGUAGUCCUGGGCUCUAUAAGAAAGCAAGCUGAACAAGCCAGGGGGGAGUAAGCCUGUAAGAAACAUUCCUCCAUGGCCUCUGCAUCAGCUCCUGCUUUCUGACCUGCUUGAGUUCCAGUCCUGACUUCCUUGGUGAUGAACAGCAGUAUGGAAGUGUAAGNNNNNNNNNNNNNNNNNNNNNN